AAAAAAUAAAAUUCAAGUGGUGUUUACAACUAACUGCUCACAGUUACAGAUGUCUUUGUUCCUUCUCCACUCCCAAUGCUUCACUUGACUAA
ensembl:misc_RNA Y_RNA Y RNA